AUUGAACGCUGGCGGCAGGCCUAACACAUGCAAGUCGAGCGGAGCGGCGGACGGGUGAGUAAUGCCUAGGAAUCUGCCUGGUAGUGGGGGAUAACGUCCGGAAACGGGCGCUAAUACCGCAUACUAUCAGAUGAGCCUAGGUCGGAUUAGCUAGUUGGGGGGGUAAAGGCCUACCAAGGCGACGAUCCGUACCUGGUCUGAGAGGAUGAUCAGUCACCUUGUAACUGAGACAGGGCCCAGCCUCCUACGGGAGGCAGCAGUGUGGAAUAUUGGACCAUGGGCGAAAGCCUGAUCCAGCCAUGCCGCGUGUGUGAAGAAGGCCUUCGGGUUGUAAAGCACUUUCAGCGAGGAGGCGUUACUCGCAGAAGAAGCACCGGCUAACUCCGUGCCAGCAGCCGCGGUAAUAC
rnacentral:rRNA from 1 species